CCAGACUCCUACGGGAGGCAGCAGUGGGGGAUAUUGCACAAUGGGGGGAACCCUGAUGCAGCGACGCUGCGUGGGUGAAGAAGCGCCUCGGCGCGUAAAGCCCUGUCAGCAGGGAAGAAAAUGACGGUACCUGACUAAGAAGCCCCGGCUAACUACGUGCCAGCAGCCGCGGUAAUACGUAGGGGGCAAGCGUUAUCCGGAUUUACUGGGUGUAAAGGGAGCGUAGACGGCUGUGCAAGCCAGAUGUGAAAGGCCGGGGCUCAACCCCGGGACUGCAUUUGGAACUGUGUGGCUGGAGUGUCGGAGAGGCAGGCGGAAUUCCCAGUGUAGCGGUGAAAUGCGUAGAUAUUAGGAGGAACACCAGUGGCGAAGGCGGCCUGCUGGACGAUGACUGACGUUGAGGCUCGAAAGCGUGGGGAGCAAACAGGAUUAGAUACCCCGGUAUA
rnacentral:rRNA from 1 species